UUGAAGAAUCCGUUUGGACAUAGUGUCCGC
rnacentral:sRNA from 1 species